GAUGUCUGUGGUUUUCUGUGUGGUCAAGGCUGUAAUGGAGGAUACCCUAUCAGUGCAUGGCGCUACUUCCGUCGGAGUGGUGUUCUGACUGACGAGUUUGUGAAGGAAGUUUACAGUUGAUAUAUCUCUAGCUCCGAGGAAUUAUCGCUCGGUGACUUGGGUAUGUCCACUCAUGCCCUUGACGUGCAUGGACCGUGAGCUUCAGUGCUAAUCAGUUGAUAUAUCUCUAGCUCCGAGGAAUUAUUGCUCGGUGACUUGGGUAUGUCCACUCAAGUUGUAAUGAAAUUCUGCAGUUUGUGAAGGAAGUUUACAGGUAAACAAUUUUCCUCCAUUUGUCUCUGAACAUGGACCGUGAGCUUCAGUGCUAAUCAGUUUUGUGGUGUCAUCUUUUGCCUUGAGAUGACCUUGGGAGAAGAUCAGCCCGGAAGUUACCUGAGAUGCAUAAGAAGAGCCUGAGCACUGAUGACGACUCGGUGAUUCGUGAAGUUACCGAGUACCGGAACCAGAGCUAUCCGCGUGGAUCCCAGAGAGUGCUCCUUGCUCUCUGAGAAAGAAGAUGACAGACAAGAUGCAAAAUGGAAAUGACAGACAAGAUGUGCAAUGAAACAUCUCCAUUGUCAUAUGAGGAGUUGGACCUCGAGCUCGAGGGUGAGGAACACAAAGAUGGGUGCAGGUGGUGGGCUGGCCGCCGGUAGGCGCGUACAGGAAACCAGCGGGCGGUGGGCUAUACGUCAAGGUGAGUAUGGACGGCGCGCCGUACCUGUGCGCGGUCGCCGGGCAGCAGCGGCGCGCGGUCGCCGGG